GUGGGGAAUAUUGGACAAUGGGCGAAAGCCUGAUCCAGCCAUGCCGCGUGUGUGAAGAAGGUCUUCGGAUUGUAAAGCACUUUAAGUUGGGAGGAAGGGUAGUAACCUAAUACGUUGCUACUUUGACGUUACCGACAGAAUAAGCACCGGCUAACUUCGUGCCAGCAGCCGCGGUAAUACGAAGGGUGCAAGCGUUAAUCGGAAUUACUGGGCGUAAAGCGCGCGUAGUUGGUUCAGUAAGUUGGAAGUGAAAUCCCCGGGCUCAACCUGGGAACUGCUUUCAAAACUGCUGAGCUAGAGUACGGUAGAGGGUGGUGGAAUUUCCUGUGUAGCGGUGAAAUGCGUAGAUAUAGGAAGGAACACCAGUGGCGAAGGCGACCACCUGGACUGAUACUGACACUGAGGUGCGAAAGCGUGGGGAGCAAACAGGAUUAGAUACCCCUGUAGUCC
rnacentral:rRNA from 1 species